rnacentral:rRNA from 1 species
UACGUAGGGUGCGAGCGUUAAUCGGAAUUACUGGGCGUAAAGCGUGCGCAGGCGGUUUUGUAAGCCAGAUGUGAAAUCCCCGGGCUUAACCUGGGAAUGGCAUUUGGGACUGCAAGGCUUGAGUGCGGCAGAGGAGACUGGAAUUCCUGGUGUAGCGGUGAAAUGCGCAGAUAUCAGGAAGAACACCCGUGGCGAAAGCGGCUCUCUGGAACGGUACUGACGCUGAGACGCGAAAGCGUGGGGAGCGAACAGG